CUUGGUCAUUUAGAGGAGUAAAAGUCGUAACAAGGUCUCCGUAGGUGAACCUGCGGAGGGAUCAUACACAAAUAUGAAGGCGGGCUGGAACCUCUCGGGGUUACAGCCUUGCUGAUUAUUCACCCUUGUCUUUUGCGUACUUCUUGUUUCCUUGGUGGGUUCGCCACCACUAGGACAAACAUAAACCUUUUGUAAUUGCAAUCAGCGUCAGUACAAAUUAAUAAUUACAACUUUCAACAACGGAUCUCUUGGUUCUGGCAUGAUGAAGAACGCAGCGAAAUGCGAUAAGUAGUGUGAAUUGCAGAAUUCAUGAAUCAUCGAAUCUUUGAACGCACAUUGCGCCCUUUGGUAUUCCAAAGGCAUGCCUGUUCGAGCGUCAUUUGUACCCUCAAGCUUUGCUUGGUGUUGGCGUCUUGUCUCUAGCUUUGCUGGAGACUCGCCUUAAAGUAAUUGGCAGCGGCCUACUGGUUUCGGAGCGCAGCACAAGUCGCACUCUCUAUCAGCAAGGUCUAGCAUCCAUUAAGCCUUUUUUUCAACUUUUGACCUCGGAUCAGGAGGGAUACCCGCUGAACUUAAGCAUAUCAAUAAGCGGAGGAAAGGGCGU
rnacentral:rRNA from 1 species